UGGGUGUUGCUUCAAUGGCAGUGUCUAGCCAU
rnacentral:piRNA from 1 species